CAGCAGCCGCGGGAAUACGUAGGGUGCAAGCGUUAAUCGGAAUUACUGGGCGUAAAGCGUGCGCAGGCGGUCCGCUAAGACAGAUGUGAAAUCCCCGGGUUUAACCUGGGAACUGCAUUUGUGACUGGCGGGCUAGAGUAUGGCAGAGGGGGGUAGAAUUCCACGUGUAGCAGUGAAAUGCGUAGAGAUGUGGAGGAAUACCGAUGGCGAAGGCAGCCCCCUGGGCCAAUACUGACGCUCAUGCACGAAAGCGUGGGGAGCAAACAGGAUUAGAUACCCCUGUAGUCCCUGUCUCUUAUAC
rnacentral:rRNA from 1 species